CCCUUAGAUGUUCUGGGCCGCACGCGCGCUACACUGACGACUUCAACGAGUUUUUUUCAUUUGAAAAAGUCCUUGGCCGGAAGGUCUGGGUAAUCUUUUAAAAGGUCGUCGUGAUGGGGCUAGAUUCUUGCAAUUAUUAAUCUCCAACGAGGAAUUCCUAGUAAACGCAAGUCAUCAACUUGCAUUGAUUACGUCCCUGCCCUUUGUACACACCGCCCGUCGCACCUACCGAUUGAGUGCUCAGGUGAAUAAUUCGGACUGCAGCAAUGUUUGGAUCCCGAACGUUGCAGCGGAAAGUUUAGUGAACCUUAUCACUUAGAGGAAGGAGAAGUCGUAACA
rnacentral:rRNA from 1 species